rnacentral:rRNA from 1 species
AUUGAACGCUGGCGGCAUGCCUUACACAUGCAAGUCGAACGGCAGCACGGACUUCGGUCUGGUGGCGAGUGGCGAACGGGUGAGUAGUACAUCGGAACGUGCCCGAUCGUGGGGGAUAACGGAGCGAAAGCUUUGCUAAUACCGCAUACGAUCUACGGAUGAAAGCAGGGGACCUCAAGGCCUUGCGCGGACGGAGCGGCCGGUGGCAGUUUAGGUGGUUGGUGGGAUAAAAGCUUACCAAGCCGACGAUCUGUAGCUGGUCUUAGAGGACGAUCAGCCACACUGGGACUGAAGCACGGCCCAGACUCCUACGGGGGGAAGAAGUGGGGAAUUUUGGGCAAUGGGCGCAAGCCUGGUCCAGCAAUGCCGCGUGCAGGAUGAAGGCCUUCGGGUUGUAAACUGCUUUUGUACGGAACGAAAAGCCCUGGGUUAAUACCCUGGGGUCAUGACGGUACCGUAAGAAUAAGCACCGGCUAACUACGUGCCAGCCGCCGCGGUAACAC